rnacentral:rRNA from 1 species
GACGAACGCUGGCGGCGUGCUUAACACAUGCAAGUCGAGCGGUAAGGCUCCUCCGGGAGUACACGAGCGGCGAACGGGUGAGUAACACGUGAGCAAUCUGCCCUUCACUUUGGGAUAAGCGCCGGAAACGGCGUCUAAUACCGAAUACGACCACUUCCGGCAUCGGAUGGUGGUGGAAAGUUCCGGCGGUGAAGGAUGAGCUCGCGGCCUAUCAGCCUGUUGGUGAGGUAAUGGCUCACCAAGGCUUCGACGGGUAGCCGGCCUGAGAGGGUGACCGGCCACACUGGGACUGAGACACGGCCCAGACUCCUACGGGAGGCAGCAGUGGGGAAUAUUGGACAAUGGGCGAAAGCCUGAUCCAGCAACGCCGCGUGAGGGGUGACGGCCUUCGGGUUGUAAACCUCUUUCAGCAGGGACGAAGCGCAAGUGACGGUACCUGCAGAAGAAGCACCGGCCAACUACGUGCCAGCAGCCGCGGUAA